GUCGCGGUGAGUUGUUUGUGUAGCUGUACUCAGGCAGGAGGGCACAGCAGGAACGACCCAGCCCCAUUGGUUUGGUGGGGGAGCUGAAGUUUUCAAUUAUAUGAAAGUAAUACUGCAGCAGAAAAAUGAUCUGGCAGGUGCUUAGCUCAGGGCUAGAAGAAAAUGAGUCUCCAGCAGCUCUCUAACCAAGAAGAUGUACUGCCAUAGUUCUUGAGAUGAAUCUGCCUUUGUGAUGGCCACUCCCAGAGUAAUCAACCCUGAAGAAAUCGAUGUCUGGACUGAUGAAGCUCAGUUUUAUUCUCAGCUCCUCACUGAGAAUAUGGAAGUUUUUCAUCUACCUGCAUUUUUUCCAAAGCCUUCCUAAUUUAAAGAUCAGUAGAUUAGUUCUGGCUGCUUUGAUGUCAGCUGUUCCAUGUCAUCUGCACAUAUUCUAUUACUUCUGAGAUCCCAAAACCACAUGUGAAAUGUGCCAGGCAGGCUUUCUGUUGCCUGGCAUUUUGUGUAUGGGGGUACACGGGGUCUGUGUUUAAAUUCUGAGACAGGUAUGCCAAGCCUGGAUUUCAGUGAACCAAGAAGUUGUGAUGACACCGUAGGUAUGAACUAUAGUACAGAAAUAUUUAAGCCAGUAAAAGCCAAAUCUGCUGCACUUGGUGGUGUUGAGACCAAGGCACUAAUACCUGACAUUGGGUUUUCUUUUUUAAGUGGGUACAAUACCAGGUCAGUGUUAGGCUACUGCAGCUGGCUUGUGUCCACGUAAUGUGAGUACCUCUGUGUUAUACCUCCCCACAUUUCCUAUUUUGUGUGCAAAAAUGUCUUGGGACACUCUUCUGCUUGUUGAGGAGCACCCAAGGGAUUCUGCUGCGUUCAGCCUCGUUUCUCUUCUCUCUUCCUUAAUGAAUGGGCACUGAAUGAUAUUUUAGUUCCAGAAAGAGCAUCCUUUAAACUCCACG